rnacentral:lncRNA from 1 species
ACACCCUUCCCCGCUGUCACCUAAUCCCCUCUUCUCUCAAAUGCACUCAAGUCUAAAACCUAAUCCAGCUUCACCAACACUCAUCUAUGGCCAUUCAUGGUGGUUUCUCACCACCCCAGACCUCUAAUGACCUCUUCAUACGGGUAUCAUCGUCUCUAGGGUCCUCGAGGGACUACGUUUAAUUUUCUUACACCUUUGGUCUUUGCUCGCCUGUUUCAGGCUGUUCCGGUUCUAUUUUGAGUAAGAUCUUCCUAUGUCACCUUAGAUCUAUGAAUUUAUAUGUUUUCUUAUUCACCUCUUUGUUAUUCUUCUUGAAACCCUAAUUUUUGUUAUUUGAAUUUCUCAGACAUGUGUAAUAUCUAAGAUGGAUCGAAGCUAUUUCACAUGACUUUUACAAGAACCUUCUGAUUGUUGAAGGUUUUCCACUUUUUCUAAACUAGGGUUUCCUGAAAAUUUCUUUCUCCAAUGUUUCAUCAUUUUGAGUGUUUACUCUUCUGUUUCUUAUGUUUUUAAACCGAUUUUGUAAGGUUUGCUUUAACCCUAACUUAUUUGUGCUAAAAACCCUAAUUUUCGACAUUUUUAUUUGGUUUCUAAGUUACUUGUGUGCCAACUUUAUCCUAUUCUUUAGUUCUUGCAAUUUUUCUUUAGCCUAAUUAGAUGUCCUGUAAUUUUUAUAUCCUAAUAUGCCUCUACCAAGGUACUUGGUUCGACUCCUUACUGAUUCUAUGUGUCUAUAUUCAUCCUUUGCCUAUUCAUGGUAAACCACUAUUUCUCUCUUUAUAUCAAUGUUGAUUUGAGUUUUUGAUUUAUAAAUUUUCUUAGGUAAGACCUAUGUGCUAAUUCCUGACUAUUUCCUUUAUUUACAAUCUUGAUUAGCUUUCUUGCCUUAUUCAAUAACAGUGAUACUUACUAAUUCUUCACUAAUCAUUUUCUUAAUUAAUCUUAUAUCUAUUUAACCCUAUUUACUCAUUUGAUUUUCUUUUCUUAAAUGUAUUCUGCCUUUACCAUUGGGUACUCACCCUUAAUUAAGGGAAAAUUACAGUAGUUAGUGUAUAAUUGAUUUUGUGGCUUCCUUAAUUGUAGAAGGAUUGAUUCCUUUUACCUUAUUCCCAAUGUUCUUAAAUACUAUAUAUACUCUCCUUUAAUCCUCACUUCUGGACACGAGACUAGUUCAUACACUCACUGCUCUACACUCUAAAAAAGCUCUUUGCUCUCUCUCCGGUACUUGUGAUCUCUCUUAAUCCAGCUGGCUGCAAGCCAAGGGUAGAAAUUGUACUACACAUGUCAUACAUCUUUUGUUUUCUUUCUCUAACUGGUAUGCUUCUGAUUAAGUUUCAAAAU